UCCCGGCGGCUUGGCCGCUCUGCGGGGAGCACCCGGGGCGGCCUCCCGAAGGAGAGGUGGGAACCUCAGGCUCGGAGCGGGGGGAGGAGGGGGACCGUGCCUCUGCCGGCAGUGGGGCGCUGGACGGCGAGGGGGGGUUUGGGGAAGGCUCUUCCUCACCUGUCCCUUUUCCUUCCCGGAAGCUGGAGCCUCCACCUCCCCCAUUUUCCCCUUCUGCUGUGCGCACGCCAGCCUUGCUGGGUAUUUUUAGCUGGUGCCGCUGUGAUUAGCAUUCAGGGGAGCAAGCGAGGGAGAGAAAGCCGUUUUCCAAGCCGUUUUCUCUUCCCUUUCCAACAGGGCCAAUGCACCUGUCGGUGGUGGGAGGUGGUGCGUGGGGUGUGAUCUGGUGUUUAGCCUUCUCCAGGGAUGCGAUCCUGCUCCCUCUGUUCCAUCAGGGCAGGCCCUGUCAGCACCUCCCAGAGCAGGGCCAGCUCCCUGCGGCAUGGGACACCGCUGCAGGAGCUGCUCCUCCCUGAGAGAGGCUUCUGGGCCUUGCAUGGGGCAGUGGCCUCGCAAGGGCCCUUGGCUGUCCCUGGCUCCUGAGGAUUGGGGCACAUGGGUCUGCUGAUCUGUGGCCAUGUGAAGAUUUUGCUGUAGGAUCUGGGACUUUGGCUCUGCUUGUGCCAGGUCCGCCUGCUGAAAAAAGAGUAUCCAUGUUCAACAGAAGAUGAUAGAACUGCAAGCCACUUGGCCACAUUAGUCCAUCACCUAAAUCAGUCACUGCAAGCAAGUUGGUCUGUCAGCCUCAGUGAAUAGCCAAGUCAGAACCUGAUGGGACUGUACUACAGCUGCUGACUAUAAAGUAUGAGCCUCUCUUUGUACAUCAUGUGCUCUGACUGCUGACCAUCCUGGUGGCCUCCAGUGGACUUGCUCCAGUCUGUCAAUGUCCAUUUUGUACUGGGGAACCAGAACUAGACACAGUACUCCAGAUGCAGUUUUGCAAGUGCCGAAUAGAGGGGAAGGAUCACUCUACCGGACGUGCCAGCUACGCAUGUACCAAUACAGCCCUGGAUGCAGUUGGCCCUCUUUGCUGCAAGGACACACUGCUGAUUCAUGUUUGACUUGCUGUCCACGAGGACCUUGAGAUCUUCUUCUGCAGAACUGCUUCUCUGACAGUCAGCCCCAGCCUGUAUUGUUGCAUGGGGUUAUUCUAUCCCAGAAGCAAGACUGAAUUUUCUCCUGUUGCACUUCACCAGGUUCCUGUAGCCCAUUUCUCCAGAUCCCUCUGAAGAGUAGCCUUUCCCUCCAAUGAACUGACCACUCCUCCCAAUUUGGUGUCAUCCACAAAUCUGCUGAGAGAAGACACCAUCUUAUCAUCCUGGUCAUUGAUGAAGACAUUAAACCAUCUUUGUACCAGUCUUGAUCCCUGAGGGAUGCCACUGGUUACCAAUCACCAGCUGUCCAGCCAGUUUCAACCCACUGCAUUGUCCACUUAUCCAGUCCAUAUCUCACCAGUUUGGUGGUAAGGAGAUGUGGAGGUUUAAGCCCAGCAGGCAAUAAAGCACCACAAGGCUGCUCGCUCACUCCUCCCCAACCCAUCCAGUGGGAUGGGGAGGACAAUCAGAAAGGAGAAAGAAGAAAAAAAAAAAAUAGAACCUCGUGGGUUGAGAUAAGGACAGUUUACUGGGACAACACAACGAGAGAAGUUACAACAACAACAGUACUAAUAAAAGAAUAUACAAAACGAGUGAUGCACAGUGCAACUGCUCACCACCCAGAACCUGAUGCUCUGCCACUCCCCCCACAGAGAG